AGACCCAGUGAUUAAAAUCGGAAGCGCAUUAGAGGGACCUGUGGGGAGGAGCGAGGACUUUUGGGAGUUCUUUCUUUUUAUCUCUCUCUCUCUGUCUCAUCCUCUUUUUUUCCUUUAACUCCUAAUGGUCCUUCACUCAUCUCUGUCCCUGUGAGCGGGAAGAUUAUGAGAUCUGAGGGUCU